rnacentral:rRNA from 1 species
GAAUAGCCUAGCGGCCGAGAGGUUAGCGAAGCUUAUCAAACUCAGAAUGCCAGAAUAUUGAUGCCUGGGAGUCAGACAGUGUCAGAUAAAUGUCAUUGUCAAAAGGGAAACAGCCCAGAUCUACAGCUAAGGUCCCAAAGUCAGGUUAAGUGGAAAACGAUGUGAAGAUACGCAGACAACCAGGAUGUUGGCUCAGAAGCAGCCACUCAUUCAAAGAGUGCGUAAUAGCUCACUGGUCGAGCGUCUUUGCGCGGAGAAUUUAACGGGGCUAAACCUGACACCGAAGCUUAGGCAAUACAGCAAUGUAUUGGGUAGGGGAGCGUUGUAUACGCGGAGAAACAGUAGCGUAAGCGGCUGUGGAGUGUAUAGAAGUGAGAAUGCCGGUGUGAGUAGCGAGAUGUAGGUGAGAAUCCUACACACCGAAAGCCCAAGGAUUCCAGGGGAAGGUUCGUCCGCCCUGGGUAAGUCGGGACCUAACGCGAGGCCGAAAGGCGUAGUGGAUGGAAAGCAGGCGAAAGAUUCCUGCACCCGUAUAUGGAGCGAAGGAGUGACGGAGACGGAUAGUGUGACCCUCUUAAUGGAUUGAGGGCGAAGCGAAGCGGCUGGUUACCAGGCAAAUCCGGUAACCAUAAGGCUAGAGCGUGACAGGUAAGCGAAAUCUUCGGAAAGUAGCGAAGCACAUGAUGACGGCUUCCAGGAAAAGCUUCUGGCAAUGCAUAUGCGGCCCGUACCAAAACCGACACAGGUGGGCAGGGAGAGAAUCCCGAGGUGAGCGAGAGAACUGUUGCCAAGGAACUCGGCAAAAUGACUCCGUAAGUUAGCGAGAAGGAGUGCUUAAGCAAUUAAGCCGCAGUGAAGAGGCCCAAGCGACUGUUUAACUAAAACACAGCUCUCUGCGAAGUCGCAAGACGAAGUAUAGGGGGUGACACCUGCCCGGUGCUGGAAGGUUAAGAGGAUCUGUUAAGAGCGAUCUGAAGCAGUGAUCCGAAGCCCCAGUGAACGGCGGCCGUAACUAUAACGGUCCUAAGGUAGCGAAAUUCCUUGUCAGGUAAGUUCUGACCCGCAUGAAAGGCGUAAUGAUUUGGGCACUGUCUCAACAGCCCGCCCGGCGAAAUUGUAGUACCGGUGAAGAUGCCGGUUACCCGCGACAAGACGGAAAGACCCCAUGGAGCUUUACUGUAGCCUAAUAUUGGGUUUCGAUGUUGCAUGCACAGGAUAGAUGGGACACUGGGAAGUGAUCGCUUUGGCGGUCAUGGAGUGGCCGUUGGGAUACCAUCCUUGCGAUAUUGGAAUUCUAACCUGCGGCUCUGAAUCGAGUCGGGGGACAUUGUUAGGUGGGCAGUUUGACUGGGGCGGUCGCCUCCUAAAGAGUAACGGAGGCGUUCAAAGGUUCGCUCAGCUUGAACGGAAAUCAAGCAAAAGAGUGCAAACGCAGAAGCGAGCCUAACUGCGAGACUGACGGGUCGAGCAGUAACGAAAGUUGGAGUUAGUGAUCCGGUGGUAUGUGAGUGGAAAUGCCAUCGCUCAACGGAUAAAAGUUACCCUGGGGAUAACAGGCUGAUCUCCCCCAAGAGUCCACAUCGACGGGGAGGUUUGGCACCUCG